rnacentral:lncRNA from 1 species
UGACUGGAUCCGAAUUAUACUGUAUUUCUUUGUCCACUGAAAUGUUGUUAGAAAUACCAGUUUGUUGACAAAAUAUGGCAAAAUCAAAUAUUGGAAAGCUGUUUGAAUUUAUGUCACUGAUGGGACAACUUAAGGUUGUUAAUCGCUUUUAGAACGCUGAACUGACACAAUAAAUGUCAUUGUUUGAAAACUUGGAAAUUUCCCUUUUUUACAGUUGGUGAAAAUUACUUACCUGAGCACCAAAUCUACCCUCCCAUUAAACAUAUUUUUAACAGCAAAACAAAUACUUAAAAAAACAGUAUCUAGUUUUUAAACAGAUAUAUCAUGUUAAGGAAGGAGGGGUAAUUGCGAAAAAUACCAGUGGAGAGAAUGGUAAAUUUCGCAAGCCGUAAGGCGAGGGAAAUUCAUUUUCAAAACUGGUAUUUUUCACAAAUACCCCUCAAGAACAUGCUAUAUCUGUUUAAUUACAUCAAAUGUUAAUGUUUAAAAACGCAUUGAUGAUCGUGACGUUACAAGCGUCCAGUAAGAGUAUUUUUUGGCAAAUACCACAGCAGAGAGGGUAAAAAAGGCAUAUAUAUAUAUCCUUUUUGCAAAUACCUCGGCUGCAUUAAAAAUGAACGAUAUUGAUUUAAGAACAGUAAAUUGGUGAAAAAUACACUGGCUAUCAACCAAUCAAAGCCCAGGAUUCUUACAUUAGGUUUUACAUUUGAAAUAAGUUUAUACUGGACAGCUGAAGUGUUUGCAUAAUAAUUUAUACAUACAUACAUGUACCUAUAAGUAGUGAAGUAUAAAUUGAAAGGAAAAAUGUUCUUGGGGAGCGACCAUUUAAUUUCCAGGGGGUAGGGGGUUAUGUUUUUUUUCUAAAGGAAUAUUCUGAUCCCCAAUUUUAUGAAUAAAAAAUAUUCUGGUCAAGCAGAUGCCAAAAAUAAUACAAGCCUUUUAAAUCUGACAACAAAGUUCUGUUUGACUUUUUGUGGGGACCAUCAAAUUUUGUGAAAAAUGUACACAAACUUUCAAUGACUUAUUGCCCCAAAAUUUUUUAAGCGCUUUCACAUCCUUGUAUGAACAGUCAGAGCUCAGACAUAAAUAAGUCUGAAUCUGCUUUUGACUCAUAGAGGUCUAAAUUUGUAAGUUUCAGGAUUUGUCUCCCUUUAAUGCAAGACAAAAUACGACUUUAAUAAGUUAAACAUUAGUAAGCAAGAAAUAAUUGACCAGAAUCAAAAAGUUGCAAAUAUUGACUCCUACAAGUCGAUAAGUUAUCAAAAUUGGUUAACUUCAAGACCCACGCAUAUUUAUAAAAAGGUUAUGCAUCUAAAUCAAAUAAUGACAACAUUGAAAGACAAGACUUGCUUUGUCUUCUAAAGAAAAAUAUGAAUGAGAGUCUAAAAUAUCAGCGAUAAUGUUAAUUAACCUUACAAUGCAACCAACUGGAACCAUACUUAAUGAGUUAAAACAUCUGUGUUUAGUAAGGAUGUUCAAUUAGAUAAUUAAAUAUAGAUAGCUCAAGUCCUUGUGAACUCUCAGACAGGUUUUUGCUGUCAUAGGUGGUGUACUUUGGCCACCAAGUAAAAUUAAAAUUUUUCAUUAACAUAAAUAGACCUAAAUAAGUCUGUCAUUUUCUGACUUAGAUAAGUCUAAAAUUCAAAACACAUUUUAUAUUAAAAUACAUGUUUUGACUUCUUUAAGUCAAAAACAAAAAUCGACUUGCUUAUGUCUGAGCUCUAACUGAUGAAACAGUGUACCUGAAACCUGAAAAUAUAAUAUGUAUUAGAUUAAGCAAAAUUUUCUGGAUAAAAAAAUACACACAAUCAAGAAAUGCAAGACAUGCAUUCUGAUUCUUUAAUCAUGUUAAUAGCCCUUAUCCUUGAAAAUCUUUUGACUGUACAUGUACAUAUAUAUAUAUAUAUAUACAUGUAUAUAUGACCUAAACUUUGAUGACAUCAUACUGACGAAGUACUGAGAAAAAAAUGUUGUUGGAUUUCCGUGAUUUUUGUGGCAUAAUUAUAUCAGAUAUGACAUUAUAUACAUUUGGUUAUAUAUUUAUGUUUUUCAGAGAGUAAAGAGAACUGGUUGGGUUUUGAAACAUGUUGAAGAACCAGAGAGUGUAUCUGACCACAUGUACAGAAUGGCUACUUUAUCUUUCUUGGUGGAUCCCAGUACAGGGCUAAACAAAGAAAAGUAUUUAA